GUCAAACUUCCGUUAAGCUAUAAUGUGAUCUUGGGGAGGCCUGCGCUGUUCAAUUUCGAAGCUGUCACCAGUAUCAGGUAUUUGGCGCUCAAAUUUCCAACAGAAGAAGGAGUGGGAAUAGUCCGGGGCAGCCAGGAAGAGGCAAGAGCAGUAUACUUGGCCACAGUAGCAGAACCGAGCUCCACCGGAGAAGCCCUUGACUCGGAAGUUCUAGAGGUUCG
rnacentral:lncRNA from 1 species